GACGAACGCUGGCGGCGUGCCUAAUACAUGCAAGUAGAACGCACAGUUUAUACCGUAGCUUGCUACACCAUAAACUGUGAGUUGCGAACGGGUGAGUAACGCGUAGGUAACCUGCCUGGUAGCGUGGGAUAACUAUUGGAAACGAUAGCUAAUACCGCAUAAUAUUGAUUAUUGCAUGAUAAUUGAUUGAAAGAUGCUAUUGCAUCACUACCAGAUGGCCCUGCGUUGUAUUAGCUAGUAGGUGAGGUAACGGCUCACCUAGGCGACGAUACAUAGCCGACAUGAGAGGGUGAGCAGCCACACUGGGACUGAGACAGGGCCCAGACUGCUACGGGAGGCAGCAGCAGGGAAUCGGCGGCAAGGGACGAAAGUCAGACCGAGAAACGCCGAGUGAGUGAAGAAGGUUUUCGGAUCGUAAAGCUCUGUUGUAAGAGAAGAACGGGUGUGAGAGUGGAAAGUUCACACUGUGACGGUAUCUUACCAGAAAGGGACGGCUAACUACGUG
rnacentral:rRNA from 1 species